UGUCACUAACAUUGUGAAUUGUGAUGACUCGGCCCUUGCUUUGCCUGUCCAAGGUCAACCAUUCAUGAAUCAUAACAGGUGAAAAGAUAUGUGUGCAUAUAAAAAGAUAAGAAACUGCAUAAUAUGUUAUGAGUUUAUUUAAUGCAAGAAAAACAUGUUGGGAAGCAUAGCAGCAUCAUUAAUGAAUGUUAUUUGUCUUAUGCGGUCACCUGCUAUAACUAAUCUUUUGUAUUAUAUAUACUAAUGUUUGUACCAAGAGCUGAACUUUCCAACAAAUUAUUAUAAUAUGGUCCGAAACGAGGAAGUGAAAUGCAAAUUGGGUUCUUCAAGGAACAUGGUUAAUUAAUUAACUGGAGGAUGAAAUUAUUGGUCUAAUGGAGAAGUCAAAUUGAAUAUUGAUUAUAAACUGUGAAGAGGAG
rnacentral:lncRNA from 1 species